GUCCACGCUGUAAACGAUGCGCACUAGAUACGAGGAACACUGACGUUAUUCGUAUCGAAAUAAACGUUAAGUGCGCCGCCUGGGGAGUACGGCCGCAAGGCUAAACUCAAAGGAAUUGACGGGGCGUCACACAAGCGGUGGAGCAUGUGGAUUAAUUCGAAGCAACGCGAAGAACCUUACCUGGGUUUGACAUGUACGGAUGCUCUGGUUGAAAGAUCAGUAGGCUGCCUUCGGGUGAAACGUGCACAGGUGCUGCAUGGCUGUCGU
rnacentral:rRNA from 1 species